UAGGAAAAUGGUUUCAGAUUUAAAAUUUCAUUAGCAGAACUGGCUUGAAUUCAUUCCGAUUCAUUCCCUAUUUUCAGCCAGGAAAUUUUUCGAUAUGUAAGAACGGGAAAGCCAGGAAUUGAAGGAUCAAGCCCACGAAUGCCACGAUAUUCCCUCUACCUCGUCUCUGCUAUGCUGACUCAUGGCGCCAUUAUUGGUCAUCACAAACAAGUGACUCUGCUAAUGGCCUAAUGUCAGGCUGACUUUUCAGCAAAGAACGGCAAAGAAGAAACUAGAAUCCAAUAUCAGCUGUGAGGUGUAAGUUGAACAGCAUUUCAAGCAAUUAUUCAUCUGUUUUACUCAUUGUAUGCAAUUUUUCAUCUAAUCUAAACUAGACUUGUCUGAUGUUGUGAUACCAGCAAGAAAAAACUUGUUUUGUGAGGGUUCUAGUUUGUAGGAUAGUCGCUUGAUUAAUGAGGUUGAUGCUCUUAGGAUCUCGUCCUUUUGUUUUAAUCCAAAUCAAAUUCAACAAG